GCCUUAGGUCAGUCGGUAGAGCACGAGACUCUUAAUAUCGGGGUCGUGGGUUCGAGCCCCACGUCGGGCG
rnacentral:tRNA from 1 species